rnacentral:rRNA from 1 species
CCUACGGGAGGCAGCAGUGAGGAAUAUUGGUCAAUGGACGCAAGUCUGAACCAGCCAUGCCGCGUGCAGGAAGACGGCUCUAUGAGUUGUAAACUGCUUUUGUACGAGGGUAAAUCCCGAUACGUGUAUCGGGUUGAAAGUAUCGUACGAAUAAGGAUCGGUUAAAUCCGUGCCAGCCGCCGCGGUAAAACGGAGGAUUCAAGGGUUAUCCGGGUUUUUUUGGUUUUAAGGGUGCCUAGGCGGUUAUGUCAAUUAGAGGUGAAAUCCCCGGGCUCAACCCCGGCACUGCCUCUGAUACUGUCGGGCUAGAGUGUAGUUGCGGUAGGCGGAAUGUAUGGUGUAGCGGUGAAAUGCAUAGAGAUCAUACAGAACACCGAUUGCGAAGGCAGCUUACCAAACUACGACUGACGUUGAGGCACGAAAGCGUGGGGAGCAAACAGGAUUAGAUACCCCUGUAGUC